rnacentral:tRNA from 1 species
UAGAUGGAGCUUCGACAGCAGCUAGGUCUAGAGGGAAG